UUUAUUUGAGCACUAGAAAAAUACAAUAAGAAUAAUUUUUGAGUAAUAAAAAGAAAAAAAGAAUUAGCUUUGUAUGUCAAGUACAUACUCUGAUUGCCAGACAUACAGCAUUCACACUGAUUGCUGGUCAUGCAUCAGUAAUCACACGCUGAUGUGCGGUCAUAGAGAUGAUAAUCAUACAGAUACAGCCACAUUCCCCACAAAGCACACACACAUAUAUGAAAAAUGUUGAAUAGG